rnacentral:rRNA from 1 species
GACGAACGCUGGCGGCGUGCUUAACACAUGCAAGUCGAACGCUGAAGCUCAGCUUGCUGGGUGGAUGAGUGGCGCACGGGUGAGUAACACGUGAGUAACCUGCCCUCUUCUUUGGGAUAACGCCCGGAAACGGGUGCUAAUACUGGAUAUUCACUGAUUCUCGCAUGGGGGUUGGUGGAAAGGUUUUUUCUGGUGGGGGAUGGGCUCGCGGCCUAUCAGCUUGUUGGUGGGGUGAUGGCCUCCGAAGGCUUUGACGGGUAGCCGGCCUGGGAGGGUGACCGGUGACAUUGGGACUGAGAUACGGGCCAGACUCCUACGGGAGGCAGCAGUGGGGAAUAUUGCACAAUGGGCGAAAGCCUGAUGCAGCGGCGCGGCGUGAGGGAGGGAGGCCUGCGGGUUGUAAACCUCUUUCGCACAUGGUCAAGCCGCAGCUUUGGGUUGUGGUGACGGUAGUGGGUAAAGAAGCGCCGGCUAACUACGUG